GGAGUGGUAGUUCAGCAGGUUAGAAUACCGGCCUGUCACGCCGGGGGUCGCGGGUUCGAGUCCCGUCCACUCCG
rnacentral:tRNA from 1 species